rnacentral:tRNA from 1 species
AGAAACUUAGGAUAUAUUUUAAACCAGAGGCCUUCAAAGCCCCCAAAAAGAGUUCUAACCUCUUAGUUUCUG